AAGUCGUAACAAGGUAACCGUAGGUGAACCUGCGGUUGGAUCAUUAGCAAACAAGUGUUUUGAACACUGAACUGGGACUAGCAAUAGUACCCUUUUAACACCCUGUGCAAUGUUGUGGACUCAAUUGAGUUCAUGUCUUUACUUUAGUCUAGUCUUUAGAUACCUAAAAUUAAAAAACAACUUUUAACAACGGAUCUCUUGGCUCUC
rnacentral:misc_RNA from 1 species